rnacentral:rRNA from 1 species
UGGGGAAUUUUGGACAAUGGGGGCAACCCUGAUCCAGCAAUGCCGCGUGUGUGAAGAAGGCCUUCGGGUUGUAAAGCACUUUUGUCCGGAAAGAAAACGCCGUGGUUAAUACCCGUGGCGGAUGACGGUACCGGAAGAAUAAGCACCGGCUAACUACGUGCCAGCAGCCGCGGUAAUACGUAGGGUGCAAGCGUUAAUCGGAAUUACUGGGCGUAAAGCGUGCGCAGGCGGUCCGCUAAGACAGAUGUGAAAUCCCCGGGCUUAACCUGGGAACUGCAUUUGUGACUGGCGGGCUAGAGUAUGGCAGAGGGGGGUAGAAUUCCACGUGUAGCAGUGAAAUGCGUAGAGAUGUGGAGGAAUACCGAUGGCGAAGGCAGCCCCCUGGGCCAAUACUGACGCUCAUGCACGAAAGCGUGGGGAGCAAACAGGAUUAGAUACCCUGGUAGUCCACGCCCUAAACGAUGUCAACUAGUUGUCGGGUCUUCAUUGACUUGGUAACGUAGCUAACGCGUGAAGUUGACCGCCU